GCAGCAGAGAAAUGCCUCUUGCUGACAGCAGGCGGGAGUGCUGUGCUUGGUGCUGGCCCGGCUUCACUCUGCCGGUUCUGACUGUUGGCUGCUUAAAGGUUGCUGAAUGUGGUUGAAACCACGUAUGCUUGAACUGAUAUUGAACCUGAGAGGCAAAAAAUUAAGUGUUUUUCCAGUGUGGGAUGGGGAGAAGUGGCCGUACGGAGAGCUGAUGGCAUCACCGUGCUCUGCAGUAAGGGAGCUGCGCCCUGCGUGUGCUGGUAACUUCUCUUCCUUGGAAAACACUGCUCCAGCUCAACAUCCGCUUUUCUAAAGGGCUCCGUGAUGCUGUUUGGGGUUUUUUCUGCUGCUUCUUGAGCUCCAUUGGCUGACUUGCAUCUGGAGGUCAAGUGCCUUGCCCCCACAGGUCGUACAGCAAGCGGGCCCUUUGAUCCCUGUCCUGACAGAUGAGAGCGGGGUGAGGCACUGCUGCUGCCAUUGCUGGGAGCUGAGCUCCAGGCUCUGGAGGCAGUGCACGGCCUGGGUUAGAGCUCUGUCUGCAGAGAUGGGGAAAGAAGAGCUCUUUGCUUUGAACUUGACCUGGUCUGGGGUCUAAAGGCAGGAAGGUUUGUUCUAUAAAUGGACUUCCAUCACUGCUCUUUCAGCUCAGGGAAAGUAAAAUGCAGCAGUGCAUUGUAGCUCGUUCCGUGGGCUGCACACCCCAAGGAGCUUGCUGCUGGCUGCAGUUUCCAUCCCUUCUUAAUAAACGUGUUUCAGCUCAAGCAGCACUUGAGCAGAAUGACAGGUAAACCCCAGGGCCUUCAAACAGCACGGAAGAGUUUUGCUUGCUGCUUGCUCCUGCAGCGUGUGCACAAGGGCAGGUGGGCUGGGAGGUGCACUGUCAGUGGGAAGGCUGGUUUUCUUCUCUUAAACUGAUGCCCUCCCUCUGCUCUCUUGUGGAGGUGUUACAGCAGAGCCAGACACUGCAGGUGUCCCCUGUACCGUCGUUUCCCAUCAUCCUUGGGAAGCUCAUCACUGUUAGGAGGGCUGAGUGAAGAGCCCAAGUACUGCCUGACCACCUGCCACGAACACCUUAAUGCGUGAAACCUCCCUCUGUGGGCAGGCAGGUUUGGGUGAAGCCUAAGAUAUUCCAUCUCCCAGUGUUCUUUCCCUUGCAGCCCUUCCCAACAUCCAGCAAGGGGAGCUGAGAGCCCGGCCCUUCCCCAUCACUGCACCCAAGCUGUCCCUGGGUGAGGAUGAAGACUUUGCAGGGGGACACGCAAAGCAAACGUUGUGUGUUGUUUUCUCCUGUUGCAUCCCAGAAGAUGAUGGAGGCUCAGUUGCACUUCAGAAAUUUCCGUCUCGUGCAGAGAUCUCCAUACCCCCAUUCCUGCACCAGGCGCUGCUUUGUCCCCUAGGUGCAGCCCUGCUCCGGAGCAGCACGUUCAGCAGCUCACAGCUGUGCUGGGAGCACGAGACCCCUCAGGCAGGAUGCAGGUCGGGGGGAGGAAGCCUGACCUUCCUCUCCAUGCUCUGCGGGGAGCUCCAGGUCUCCUGCUCGAUGUAAGAUUGCCUGUAGCAACGUUCUGCCAUUCAUUCCAACAGGAACGAGGCUGAGUUAUGUGUCUGGGAGCUCCAUGGGAAGAAUUCAUCCUUGCACACAGUGUUUCUUCAUCCCUUGUUGUGCUCCCUUCCCCAGGUCUGUGCUGAGGACAGAGGCUGUGCCACCAUGGCACGCUGGUUUGGCUCUGUGCACGCUGCCAGGGCCAUCCAGGUUGCUCCUGUGACACCAACAAGCAAGGCAGAUGCUGACAAAUUCCUCUCUCAGUUAUUGGCUUCGCUAUGGGGAAACAGUUGUGUGCUUUUCCCCGGGCCAAGGGGAGCAGUGCUGCAGGCUGAGAGCCACGGGGGAUGGGGGAGUGAGGGGCUGUCCUAAGCACACGUGCAGUAAGUGCUUCUAAAUCCCUGUCAGAAAAGAAGGCAAAACUGAAGUUAAAAAUAAACCCCAUCUGAUCUGCAGCACUCCUGUCUUCCCUCGUUGAAUGGUUCCAGCUCCAGCUUGGCAAGGAGGGACUGGCAGACAGAUCAGGGAACUGAUGAGCAGGAGGACUGAUGCGAGGAUCACACAAAGCUCAGGGGCAGAGGAUGGAGCCCGCUCCCCCCGCCGGCAGGACUGCUUUCCAUCACAGCUGUAACUCUGCACACUCACGGAGAGCAAAAGUGGGAAGGAGUGACCAGAGCUGAUGGCUGCAAAGGUGAAAGAGAAAGCUGGAGCUAACGAACAGCAGAGGGGAAAGCUGCCCCUUAACACAGGCCAUAUCAGAGAGUGAAUUCCUGCCUCCAUGGGUCAGCAGAGGGAUUGUGUGAUCAUAUGAAUUAUGGAACACCAUGCAAGAGGCAGAACACAGCAGAGAAGCUGGCCCUGAUCCUGGUGCAGAAGAGCAAUCCUGCUGCUGUCAGAGGAGCUGCACUGACAUAAAUCUGCUGUAAGCAGGAGCAUCACAGAGCCCUGCAUUGGAUGUUUUCCACCUCCAGAGUGAACGGGUGGACUCCUCUCAAGCAGACAAGCCUCUGUGCACAGCUGUCCUUCUGAGAUGGAUGUCGCUAUCUGCAGCAGGCAGCUUUGCUGGUUUUUCUUCCCCCCCUCACCGUUUCUGCCAAGAGAACUGGAGGGCUGCGGUCAGUGGCACCACUGAGGGACACGUGAACUGACAGUCAGUCUGCUACAGCAAAUAUUGCAGUCGUUUCCAACAAAGGCAAAACAAACCUCACGUCGUCAGUGGCACUGCAGGUGUGCCAACACAGUGAGCAGAAAGCUGCAGCCUGGAGCUCCAAAAACGUGCAAAAGCAGAACUCCUAUAAAACACUGACAGCAUUGGGAUCACCAGCACAAGGGAGUAAGCCACCUCACCUUGUGAAGUGCCACGAAAGGACUGCUGUGGCAUCACGAGACAUCUCUAAAGCUACCUUCAAGCAUGGAAAAAGCAGGUCGCUCACAUCACGGCAACCUCAGCAGUGCCUGCAAGCAGGUCAGCUAUUUUUGAUAUCUCUGCUCCAUCUUUUCCCUGCGCCGACUACAUUCUAAUGGAGGAACCAUGCUGCAGGCCACUUGCCUUCCCAGGGCGUUCCUUCCAUGCCUGUCGUGGUGUUAAAAAGGCAGAGUCUAUUGCUUUAGUUGGAGUGUAGCAGCCAGGAGGGGGAACGACUGUCAGAACAGCGACCACAUUACCUUUGGUAGCCACCAGAUAUCUCUCUCUGCUGUUCAAAAAGAGCAGAGCUGGAGGGAUGGAGCCCCUUCAGUUGCAUCUAUUGUCACAGAAUCAUAGAAUGGCCUGGGUUGAA